UUGGCCAUUAAUUACAAACAUCCAACAUGGGCCAAUCACAGAUGUACCUGUUGCAUUCCACAGCAGCAGAUAACCAUUGGUUACAUUUUGUUCCUGAGGCCUCUUAGCUUCUCAGGAGGAAAAAUCCUAAGGAAAGGAUUUUUCAUAAAAGAUGUCUUUGACACAGCUGGAGGCUUGCAGGGGGAUGUGGUGGUGAGCAGCAGCUCCUGGCUGGCUGUGCAACUUUCCAGCUUGAGCACCGACCCAGAGCUGCUGCAGAAGGGAAGAAAGAACUUUCCAUUCGAGUUUCCAGCUGGAAGAGCCAGGGAGAGAAAUGAUGACAUCUCUGAGGUGCAGAGCAGGGCUGGUUCCACCUCAGUGCUGCUGUGCUGCUCCUCCACCCCACGACUGCAGUGCCCUCCCUGCUCUCACCCCAUAGACACCUUGGGAGCUCCAGAGCCCCCAGCUUGGAUCCCACCCACAGGAGGCCCCUCCAGGCUGUACCUGGGGACAGUUUCCCCCUGCACAGGUACAUACUCACAGCACACUGCAGCACGGGGCUGGACAGCUCUGGGCCAUAAAUCUGCAUGGCCAGAGCUGCUCCACAGCCCCAAGGCCACCCCAAGGUCCUUCCAAGCUGGGAUCUGCCCCUCCCCUCCACUGCAGCAGCUCCUUAAUGGAGCGUGGCAUUGCCAGCCCUGCCCUGGGUGGCACUGCCAGCCCUGCCUUGAGCAGCCUAGCCGGGUGGCACUGCCAGCCUUGCCUUGCCUGGAGCAUCCCCAGCUGGAUGGCACUGCCAGCCCUACCCUGAGCAGCCCCAGGGGGGUGGCACUGCCAGCUGUGCCCUGGGUGGCACUGCUAGCCCUGCCCCAGCUGUGGCACAGCCCCAGGGACAGCCUGGGUGCCCGGGGAGCAGCAGGGCAGCCUCAAGCAGCCCCUGCCCUCUGGGAGCAGCUGCUGCUCCCCAGGUGCCUCCCUGCUCUCCUUCCCAGGAGUUUGCCCCCAUUUCUCAGUGCCCAAGGGAUGCUUUCUCAGGGUGAGCACCAGGGCUGUUCCCAAAGCUCAUCCCAGGGUGGAUGA
rnacentral:lncRNA from 1 species